rnacentral:rRNA from 1 species
CUAAUACGUGGAGCCUUGACGGUACCAGCGGAAUAAGCACCGGCUAACUCUGUGCCAGCAGCCGCGGUAAUACAGAGGGUGCUAGCGUUAAUCGGAUUUACUGGGCGUAAAGCGUGUGUAGGCGGUUCGUUAAGUCGGAUGUGAAAGCCCUGGGCUCAACCUAGGAAUUGCAUUCGAUACUGGCGGGCUAGAGUACGGUAGAGGGCGGCGGAAUUCCGGGUGUAGCGGUGAAAUGCGUAGAUAUCCGGAGGAACACCGAUGGCGAAGGCAACCGCCUGGGCUGUACUGACGCUGAGACACGAAAGCGUGGGGAGCAAACAGGAUUAGAUACCCUGGUAGUCCACGCCGUAAACGAUGAGAACUUGACGUCGGUUUGCUCUGCGAAUCGGUGUCGUAGCUAACGCGCUAAGUUCUCCGCCUGGGGGGUACGGCCGCAAGGUUGAAACUCAA